UACGAAGGGGGCUAGCGUUGCUCGGAAUCACUGGGCGUAAAGCGCGCGUAGGCGGCUUGGCAAGUCGGGGGUGAAAGCCCGCAGCUCAACUGCGGAACUGCCUUCGAUACUGCCGGGCUUGAGGGCGGGAGGGGUGAUUGGAACUCCAGGUGUAGCGGUGAAAUGCGUAGAUAUCUGGAGGAACACCGGAGGCGAAGGCGAAUCACUGGACCGCAUCUGACGCUGAGGCGCGAAAGCUAGGGGAGCAAACAGG
rnacentral:rRNA from 1 species